CCCGCCGGACCUGACUGCUAUCGGAUUGAUACUAAGCCAUGCGAGUCUUUGUAGCAAUACAAGGCAGACGGCUCAGUAACACGUAGUCAAUCUACCCUAUGGACGGGGAUAACCUCGGGAAACUGAGAAUAAUACCCGAUAGAUCAUUAUGCCUGGAAUGGUUUAUGGUCGAAAUGAUUUAUCGCCGUAGGAUGGGACUGCGGUCUAUCAGCUUGUUGGUGAGGUAAUGGCCCACCAAGGCUAUAACAGAUACGGGCUCUGAGAGGAGAAGCCCGGAGAUGGGUACUGAGACACGGACCCAGGCCCUAUGGGGCGCAGCAGGCGAGAAAACUUUGCAAUGUGCGAAAGCACGACAAGGUUAAUCCGAGUGUUUUCUGCUAAAGAAAUCUUUUGUCAGUCCUAAAAACACUGAUGAAUAAGGGGUGGGCAAGUUCUGGUGUCAGCCGCCGCGGUAAAACCAGCACCUCAAGUGGUCAGGAGGAUUAUUGGGCCUAAAGCAUCCGUAGCCGGCCGUGUAAGUUUUCGGUUAAAUCUAUACGCUCAACGUAUAGGCUGCCGGGAAUACUGCACAGCUAGGGAGUGGGAGAGGUAGACGGUACUCGGUAGGAAGGGGUAAAAUCCUUUGAUCUAUUGAUGACCACCUGUGGCGAAGGCGGUCUACUAGAACACGUCCGACGGUGAGGGAUGAAAGCUGGGGGAGCAAACCGGAUUAGAUACCCGGGUAGUCCCAGCUGUAAACAAUGCAAACUCAGUGAUGCACUGGCUUGUGGCCAGUGCAGUGCCGCAGGGAAGCCGUUAAGUUUGCCGCUUGGGAAGUACGUACGCAAGUAUGAAACUUAAAGGAAUUGGCGGGGGAGCACCACAA
rnacentral:rRNA from 1 species